GACGAACGCUGGCGGCGUGCUUAACACAUGCAAGUCGAACGAGUGGCGAACGGGUGAGUAAUACGUUGGUAACCUGCCCUCUUUUUGGGAUAAGCCUUGGCAACGGGGUCUAAUACCGAAUAAAGGGGGAUGGGAUCGCGGCCUAUCAGCUUGUUGGUGGGUUGGUGGCCUACCAAUGCGGUGACGGGUAGCCGGCCUGAGAGGACGACCAGCAACCCUGGGACUGAGACACGGCCCAGACUCCUACGGGAGGCAGCAGUGGGGAAUUUUGGACAAUGGGGUAAACCCUGAUCCAGCCAGCCCGCUUGUAUGAUGAAGGCCUUCGGGUUGUAAAGUACUUUUGGCAGAGAAGCGGUAUCUGCAGAAUAAGCACCGGCUAACUACGUGCCAGCAGCCGCGGUAAUAC
rnacentral:rRNA from 1 species